UUCUGUAGCUCAGUUGGCUAGAGCGCCGCGCCAGAAUCGCAGGGCCGCAGGUCAUCGAUUCCUGCAGGCGGAUG